GAUGAACGCUGGCGGCGUGCCUAAUACAUGCAAGUCGAGCGAAUGGAUUAAGAGCUUGCUCUUAUGAAGUUAGCGGCGGACGGGUGAGUAACACGUGGGUAACCUGCCCAUAAGACUGGGAUAACUCCGGGAAGCCGGGGCUAAUACCGGAUAACAUUUUGAACCGCAUGGUUCGAAAUUGAAAGGCGGUUUCGGCCGUCACUUAUGGAUGGACACGCGUCGCAUUAGCUAGUUGGUGAGGUAACGGCUCACCAAGGCAACGAUGCGUAGCUGACCUGAGAGGGUGAUCGGCCGCACUGGGACUGAGACACGGCCCAGACUCCUACGGGAGGCAGCAGUAGGGAAUCUUCCGCAAUGGACGAAAGUCUGACGGAGCAACGCCGCGUGAGUGAUGAAGGCUUUCGGGUCGUAAAACUCUGUUGUUAGGGAAGAACAAGUGCUAGUUGAAUAAGCUGACACCUUGACGGUACCUAACCAGAAAGCCACGGCUAACUACGUGCCAGCAGCCGCAGUAA
rnacentral:rRNA from 1 species